rnacentral:lncRNA from 1 species
UUUCAUAGCAAGUAGAACUCUUUGCUUCUAAAUAAUAUGAAGCCUGCCUGUGAAAAACAUUCUGGCUGUCAUAGCACUCCUCAGUCUAAGCCAAAUUAUCUCCCACUUUCUCCAGCAAUGAUACUUCCACAGCUGUUAUCUCAGUCAUUGAUGCACAUCUGGCAGGAUCCUCUAAUAUCAAUCCUCAGUUACUGGGGUUCAGAUAUUUUGAGAUAUCCUAAAAAUACCAUACAAGAUGGAGUUAAAAACUGAACCAGGGAAAACAGACUUGAAGCAUACUUUUACAUACAGGAGCAAUGUUGCAAUUACCCAUGGUCUGAAAAAGUUCUUUAGUUGCUGUGGAAUAAUGAUCACAGUUGAAAAUUUUUGGAAGCCUGGCAACAGAAACAUCACUCUGCUUGUCUCACAGUGGAGAACAAGACAGGAUCUUAAUGUCACAGAGAAGAGAACUUCUUAACCAAGCCCCAGGAGCUUGGAAUAUUAUCUUUAUCUCCUGCUUUGAUGGUCUUUAGAGAAAGAAUUGCUUCUACUAGUGAUAGGUUCCUACUACAUUUGGAGGACAAGACUGAGGGUAUAAUUGUAACAAAUGAUACAUACCUUCAGAGAGUUUGUGACUGAGUCAGUGUCCUGGAGAGAAAUUAUUACAAAAAGACUCCUUUAGUAAACAUUUGUGGGGCACAUAUUUAUGAUUCUUGAUGACUCUCUGGGAAGAAACAGACUUCAGCUAGAAUAAUUUCUUUGAAAGGAGAGCUUUCAUAGAGACAUGCAGCUGCUAUCCAAUGCCCUGUCUUGCAGAGCCCUGGCACCCAGGUAACCAACACCAUCCACUAGCCUCCACCCCAGAUCUGGUAGCCUCUUCAAGCCCUUGGCUUUCUCAGCAGUACUACAUGGCACCCUUGACCACCCUUCUCAGUAUGCAGCGCAACCUUCCCACUUUAGCACAGAGAUCCACAGAGACCAGAAAGCUGAGGGUGACACUGUUGAAGAUCUUCCCUGACUCUGAGCAAAAACUGAAGAUUGACUGGAUUCUGGUAGCUCAGCUGUAUGUGAAAGGCACUAGCGCCCUCUCUGGCCUGGUGUUGA